GACGAACGCUGGCGGCGUGCUUAACACAUGCAAGUCGAGCGGAGCGGCGAACGGGUGAGUAACGCGUGAGUAACUGCCCCCCUCUCUGGGAUAACAGUUGGAAACGGCUGCUAAUACCGGAUAGUGGGGGAUGACUCGCGUCCAAUCAGCUUGUUGGUGGGGUAGUGGCAUACGAAGGGGACGACGGGUAGCCGGCCUGAGAGGGCGACCGGCCACAUGGGGCUGAGGUACGGACCAGAAUCCUACGGGAGGCAGCGGUCGGGAGUAUGGCACAAUGAGGGAACCUCUGAGACAGCAACGCCGCGUGCGGGAUGACGUCCUUCGGGUUGUAAACCACUUUCAGCGAUGACGCGGUAGUGGCAGAAGAAGCACCGGCUAACUACGUGCCAGCAGCCGCGGUAAUAC
rnacentral:rRNA from 1 species